UUAAAACUCAAAUGAAUUGACGGGGGCCCGCACAAGCGGUGGAGCAUGUGGUUUAAUUCGAUGCAACGCGAAGAACCUUACCUGGUCUUGACAUCCACGGAAGUUUUCAGAGAUGAGAAUGUGCCUUCGGGAACCGUGAGACAGGUGCUGCAUGGCUGUCGUCAGCUCGUGUUGUGAAAUGUUGGGUUAAGUCCCGCAACGAGCGCAACCCUUAUCCUUUGUUGCCAGCGGUCCGGCCGGGAACUCAAAGGAGACUGCCAGUGAUAAACUGGAGGAAGGUGGGGACGACGUCAAGUCAUCAUGGCCCUUACGACCAGGGCUACACACGUGCUACAAUGGCGCAUACAAAGAGAAGCGACCUCGCGAGAGCAAGCGGACCUCAUAAAGUGCGUCGUAGUCCGGAUUGGAGUCUGCAACUCGACUCCAUGAAGUCGGAAUCGCUAGUAAUCGUGGAUCAGAAUGCCACGGUGAAUACGUUCCCGGGCCUUGUACACACCGCCCGUCACACCAUGGGAGUGGGUUGCAAAAGAAGUAGGUAGCUUAACCUUCGGGAGGGCGCUUACCACUUUGUGAUUCAUGACUGGGGUGAAGUCGUAACAAGGUAACCGUAGGGGAACCUGCGGUUGGAUCACCUCCUU
rnacentral:rRNA from 1 species